GCUGGGCAUGGUGGGGUGUGCCUGUGGUCCCAGCUACUCAGGAGGCUGAGGUAGGAGGAUUGCUUGAGCCCGGGAGGUUGAGACUGCAGUGAGCCAUAAUCAUGCCACUGCACUCCAGUCUGGGCAACAGAGCGAGACCCUGUCUCAA
rnacentral:sRNA from 1 species